CAUUUAUUCAAUACAAUGCGUUCGGUACCGUCACGUCCCAUCACCGUAGUUCCGUCGACGUUCAUGUUAGAUCCAACCAAUUUCGUGAAUCUCCAUCCAUAUUCGUGUGAGAUCCAAGCAGUUUUGUGAAGCUCCAUCAACGUUCCUCUUAGAUCCAACCGGUUUCGUAAAGCUCCAUCAAUGUUUGUGUCAGAUCUGGCUGGUGUCCUAAAGCUCCAUCAAUGUUCGUGAUAGAUCCGUCUGGGUUCGUGGUAGGUCCAUCCGGGUUUGUGAAGUUUUGUUACCGUUCAUGGUAGAUCUGUUGGCGUUUGAUAAGUUUUUCUUUGUUGUGGCAUAUGUAUACUGGAACGCCAUUGAAGAAGGUUCAUUUUUUAUUUUCUUUUACCCUCUUGGAUUGAUUUAGUUUUUGAGUUCGUGACAUAAGCUUUUCUUUGUUGUGGCAUGUGCAUACUGAAAAUCAAUUUUCUGUUUGUGGGCUUAAAGGCAAAGUUUUCUUAUAUGGACUUAUGGAGAUAUUAUGUCAUAUUAGUUAGAUAAUUAGCAGUUGUGCUUACUGUUUUGCAACCUGAAAGAAGGAACUCUUAUUAUGAGUUCAAGUCAAAGUUUCCUUGAGAAGUUUUGCUCUGUGAUAUUUUCCUUCUUGAUUCUUGAUUUUAUUGUGCCAAUUGCUUAUUUAAAUGUCAAUUCUAAUUAGAAUUAUCUUAUAAUCAUUUCAAUUUGUGGUUCUCGGUAGUUAAUGAAUUCUUUUCUUACUUUAGCCUUUGCUUGAGAAAAAGUACAUGACAUCCACUCGAAUUCACUUAGUUUUUACCAUUUUUUAACAUUUUUCUUGAAUUCUUAAGAACAUGAGAUCCAUUUUAACCUACCACUCUCUUGUGUAGUUAUUUUACAUAUAUUAGCAUUAAUAAAACUUGCUAAAACUUUCAAGGUUGAGUACAUAUCUGGUAUUUUCUCUCACCUAUUCUUAAGAUUUUAUUGUUUUUAUUUUUUGAAUACUUCGUUCAAUGAAACUAACUUUUCUUGUAGCUGACAGAAAUGUCAGGAUUAAUGAUGAUGAUGGUGGUCAUUCAAGAGAAGGGUUCAAGUUUGAUGUGUAAUGCUAAAUUUUGAUUCUUGUGGACAUGGAAAGAAGAUGGGAAGAUUGCAUUAGGAAUGUUUUGCUGAGUUUUAAGAAGGUUGACAAGUAGAGAAUGUGUACUUAACACAAAAUAGACUUCAUAACAACGUUAGUAACAAUUACAAGGUUCAUUCUAGGUAUGAAGAAAAUUAUCAAAAGGCUAAAGAAUCAGAGGCUCGGUUGCUUACUUGAGUUCAAGUUGGAUGUGGUGAUGUCGACGACUUCAUUAGAAAAAAAAGCUAGGUGUGGUAAAACUGACGAUGGAUAUAGCUUGUGGAGGAAUGAAUAAUUAUAUUAGUUUUGUUGAAGUGAAUUAGUUAUUGUUAUGUUUGUUGAAAUUUGUGUAUAUAAAUAUCUUAUUAAUUAUUGUUAUGUUUAUUUUUCUUUGUAAGUUGAAUAUAGCUUGUGGGGGAAUGAAUAGUUAU